GGCUGGUUAGCUCAGAUGGUUAGAGCGUGGUCCUGAUAACACCAAGGUCACGGGUUCGAUCCCCGUUUGGUCCC
rnacentral:tRNA from 1 species